GAUGAAGAACGUAGCGAAAUGCGAUAAGUAAUGUGAAUUGCAGAAUUCAGUGAAUCAUCGAAUCUUUGAACGCACAUUGCGCCCCCUGGUAUUCCGGGGGGCAUGCCUGUCCGAGCGUCAUUACAACCCUCAAGCUCAGCUUGGUGUUGGGCCCCGCCGUCCCGGCGGGCCCUAAAGUCAGUGGCGGUGCCGUCCGGCUCCGAGCGUAGUAAUUCUUCUCGCUCUGGAGGUCCGGUCGUGUGCUUGCCAGCAACCCCCAAUUUUUUUCAGGUUGACCUCGGAUCAGGUAGGGAUACCCGCUGAACUUAAGCAUAUCAAUAAGCGGAGGA
rnacentral:misc_RNA from 1 species